UCCGGCUUGUGGCCGGCUGUCUCUUUAGAGUGCCGCCUUGCGGCAUGGCAACUAAAGAUAAGGGUUGCGCUCGUUGCGGGACUUAACCCAACAUCUCACGACACGAGCUGACGACAGCCAUGCAGCACCUAUACAGCGGCCCUUGCGGGCGCCAGACUUUCAUCCGGACUCCACUGCAUUUCGAGCCCAGGUAAGGUUCUUCGCGUUGCGUCGAAUUAAACCACAUGCUCCACCGCUUGUGCGGGCCCCUGUCAAUUCCUUUGAGUUUUAAUCUUGCGACCGUACUCCCCAGGCGGGAUGCUCAAAGCGUUAGCUGCGCCACCGAAGAGCAAGCUCCCCGACGGCUGGCAUCCAUCGUUUACGGCGUGGACUAC
rnacentral:misc_RNA from 1 species